rnacentral:misc_RNA from 1 species
GAUGAAGAACGCAGCGAAAUGCGAUAAGUAAUGUGAAUUGCAGAAUUCAGUGAAUCAUCGAAUCUUUGAACGCAUCUUGCGCUCCUUGGUAUUCUGAGGAGCAUGCCUGUUUGAGUGUCAUUAAAUUCUCAACUACACUGACUUUGAAUUGGUGUGGCUUGGAUUUGGGGGGAAAAUUGUUGUGGGCUUUUUGUAUAGUCUGCUCCCCUGAAAUUGAUUAGCGGUACCUUUGUGGAACUGCCUACAGGUGUGAUAAUUAUCUACAUCUUAGACAUCUGCUGGAAUGCUGCUUUCUAAACCUUACUUGUAUUGACAAUCUUGACCUCAAAUCAGGUAGGACUACCCGCUGAACUUAAGCAUAUCAAUAAGCGGAGGA